rnacentral:rRNA from 1 species
CCUACGGGCGGCAGCAGUGAGGAAUAUUGGUCAAUGGACGGAAGUCUGAACCAGCGAUGCCGCGUGCAGGAAGACGGCUCUAUGAGUUGUAAACUGCUUUUGUACAAGGGCAAAUCUGAAUACGUGUAUUCAGCUGAAAGUACUGUACGAAUAAGGAUCGGGCAACUCCGUGCCAGCAGCCGCGGUAAUACGGAGGAGCCAAGCGUUAUCCGGAUUUAUUGGGUUUAAAGGGUGCGUAGGCGGUUUGAUAAGUUAGAGGUGAAAUGUCCGAGCUUAACUCGGGAACUGCCUCUAAUACUGUUGAUCUAGAGAGUAGAUGCGGGAGGCGGAAUGUAUGGUGUAGCGGUGAAAUGCGUAGAGAUC